GUCCAAGAACCGGGUUUUAGCAGUAUACAAAUUUCAUGGCCGGAUCUGCAUAUAUGACGGUCGUGGGUGACUGGACCUUACCGGAAACGGCUGUGGGUGAACGGAUCUAAUCGGAUUUUGGGCAUAUGUGACUGAAAAAUAAAGGAGGAGGUGAACAUGAAAAUAAAGAAAAAUAUGAAAGAAAAAAAAAGGGUGGAUAAAAAUCUCUGUAUGUGUGGAAAAUGAGAGAAGAAAGAACAAAUAGAGGGAGAAGAAGGAAGGGAAGAAGAGGAGGGCAUAUCAGUUUGGA
rnacentral:lncRNA from 1 species